AUUGAACGCUGGCGGCAUGCCUUACACAUGCAAGUCGAACGGUAACAGGUCUUCGGAUGCUGACGAGUGGCGAACGGGUGAGUAAUACAUCGGAACGUGCCCGAUCGUGGGGGAUAACGCAGCGAAAGCUGUGCUAAUACCGCAUACGAUCUACGGAUGAAAGCGGGGGAUCGCAAGACCUCGCGCGGACGGAGCGGCCGAUGGCAGAUUAGGUAGUUGGUGGGAUAAAAGCUUACCAAGCCGACGAUCUGUAGCUGGUCUGAGAGGACGACCAGCCACACUGGGACUGAGACACGGCCCAGACUCCUACGGGAGGCAGCAGUGGGGAAUCUUGCACAAUGGGGGAAACCCUGAUGCAGCGACGCCGCGUGAACGAUGAAGCCCUUCGGGGUGUAAAGUUCUUUCGACGGGGACGAUAAUGACGGUACCCGGAGAAGAAGCUGCGGCUAACUACGUG
rnacentral:rRNA from 1 species